GAGAAUGUGGUGUAGUUGGAUAACACGUUGGUCUACGAAACCAAAGACUGUAGGUUCAAGCCCUACCAUUCUCG
rnacentral:tRNA from 1 species